GCAGUUGUGGCGGAAUUGGUAUACGCGCAUGAUUCAGGUUCAUGUCUGUUUUCGCAGGUGUGGGUUCGAGUCCCAUCAACUGCA
rnacentral:tRNA from 1 species